rnacentral:rRNA from 1 species
AGGAUGAACGCUAGCGACAGGCUUAACACAUGCAAGUCGAGGGGCAUCACGGGAGUAGCAAUACAACUGGUGGCGACCGGCGCACGGGUGAGUAACGCGUAUGCAACCUACCUAUCAGAGGGGAAUAACCCGUUGAAAGACGGACUAAUACCGCAUAAUACUAAAUUACUGCAUGGUAAUUUAUUUAAACAUUUAUGGCUUACAGAUGGGCAUGCGCAUGAUUAGCUAGUUGGAGAGGUAACGGCUCCCCAAGGCAACGAUCAUUAGGGGUUCUGAGAGGAAGGUCCCCCACACUGGUACUGAGACACGGACCAGACUCCUACGGGAGGCAGCAGUGAGGAAUAUUGGUCAAUGGACGAGAGUCUGAACCAGCCAAGUCGCGUGCAGGAAGAAUGUCCUUAAUGGAUUGUAAACUGCUUUUGCAGGGGAAUAAAGUGCAUCACGUGUGAUGUUUUGUAUGUACUCUGCGAAUAAGGAUCGGCUAACUCCGUGCCAGCAGCCGC